AGUAGAGCUCUCCCUCCCUUGAAUCCCAAUGUUAUAUAAUAUCUGCUACUCAAGGAGUGAUCGUUGUUGAAUGAAGGAAUGAAUCUUCACAGUCAAGUUCAAGUUCCAAUAACACGUCAAGCUUCUGCAGAAGGCUCCAUGUGUUCUACAGUUUUGACAUAAUGGGACUUCAUUUUCUGUCACAGAAAUAGAAUGUUCUACUGCAAAGACAUAGCAAGAAGGACCAAGUCUUGCUGUUUAGUUCCUCUUAAUGUUCUAGUUUAAAAUUGCUACUAGAUUACAGCGUGAACGUCUCAGUAAAGCUAUUGGCAGCUUGAUUGGAACAGUUUCUGUCCUCACUUAAUCCCUCCGGACAGAUCUGAUCUGUGAGGCACGGCACGGUGCCAUUGAAACAACUGGAGUCACCUGAUACAGCACAUUACCCGAGG
rnacentral:lncRNA from 1 species